AACGAACGCUGGCGGCAGGCUUAACACGUGCAAGUCGAACGCCCCGCAAGGGGAGUGGCAGACGGGUGAGUAACGCGUGGGAAUCUACCCAUCCCUACGGAACAACUCCGGGAAACUGGAGCUAAUACCGUAUACGCCCUACGGGGGAAAGAUUUAUCGGGGAUGGAUGAGCCCGCGUUGGAUUAGCUAGUUGGUGGGGUAAAGGCCUACCAAGGCGACGAUCCAUAGCUGGUCUGAGAGGAUGAUCAGCCACAUUGGGACUGAGACACGGCCCAAACUCCUACGGGAGGCAGCAGUGGGGAAUAUUGGACAAUGGGCGCAAGCCUGAUCCAGCCAUGCCGCGUGAGUGAUGAAGGUCUUAGGAUUGUAAAGCUCUUUCACCGAUGAAGAUAAUGACGGUAGUCGGAGAAGAAGCCCCGGCUAACUUCGUGCCAGCAGCCGCCGUAA
rnacentral:rRNA from 1 species